UUUAAAAAAAAAAAAAAUCAAGAAUGGAAAUUUGAUAGGCGACAAGAUAGAACAAUAAAAGAAAAGCAACCGCGCAGCCUUUCUCUCUGAUCAAGAAACUUAAAGACCUCUCUGGUAUGGGAAGCUGAAGGCAACUGGCAACACCACACUCAGUGACAGGCAAGAUUCAGCUGUCUUCAGUUACAAAAACCAAAAAAAGAAGAUUCAGCUGACUUUUUUCCUCCACAGGCCUAAGAUAGAAUUCAUGUAUCAGGACAAAUAUCAGGUCUGACUAGAAAAAGAAAAAAAAAAAGGUUAAGAGAGUAUUCAAGAGGAUAAAAGCAAAAAUCAUAAAACUAUAUAUAAAAGUUAGAAUCACAUAAUUGUCCCAAGUAAAACUGCUGGAAAUAAAUUGGACAAAAACGACUUGAAAAUACUUUAAUCUCAUUAAUUUGUAGGCCUGUCAAACAGUAUAGUACAGUAUGUAUUCAAGGUUUCCCACAUAUGAAGAAGGAAAAAAUGGGAUUGACAUCUAUCUUAAGGUAUACCCUUCUCUUGGAUCUUGUAGAAAGAUACAUUUUAAUAUCCUAUCUAACAUAGGAACACCAAAACCAUGUAUUUGAUACAUGAUCCAUAACAGCUUUGAUAAAGGAAACUAACCUGCAAGCUAGAUACUCAUGAUGGCUGCCUUUCUGCUUCAACACCGCAGAUCAGGAGAAGCAACGGCAACUGCCGCAUCCGUACGAUAAACCUUGUGCAGGAGACUUGCAGUUUCUGAAGCACAUUUUUCAAUAGCGGAUCAAAACAGCUCGGAGAAGAGCACAAACUUCCGGUAAGAGAUAGGUUGGAAACUCUCUCAUUCGCUAUGAUUUGAUGAUAUGGAUCAAAAUUAAAUACCACAAAUGUUUUAAAUCAUCCUAUUUUCUCUAGAAGACAUUUGACUGAUUCACCCCUUCCCCCCCUCUCAACAAAUAAAUAACUUUGCUUUUAUCUUAAAAGAAGCAUGAAUAAAAAUAGUCAUAGAAAGUAGAUUAAAAUAGCAAGCGUGCAUCAUAAGUAUUUACUAGAACUUGACCCGCGCACCCGCGCAGGUGUUAGUUUUUUGAUAAAUGAAUAUUUAUUUGUAUAAGUGAUAAUAUAUAUUUUAAAAUUUACCCGUUUAAUUUUUUUUUAAUAUGACAUUUAUAAACACAAUAAUUUUAUAGUUUAUAUUGAGUAGUUUUAUUUUAUCAUGUAAACCCUUAAUUAUAUCAUCCAUUUAUUUAGAAUACGACCUGUAAAAUCACACAAAUGUACUUUUAUUUUUUAUGGAUCAAAAUUUUAUGAUUAUAUAUAAUAAAAUUAUUGUAUAAACUGUUUUUAUGGAUCAAAAUUUUAUGAUUAUGUAUAAUGAAAUUGUUGUAUACUAUUUAUUACGUAUAUGUGGAAUUAGUAAAAUAAUUACCGUAUAAUGUAUGUAAUUACGAAAUGUAUAUAUGGAAUUAAUUAUUUUCAAAUACACAUAUGUAUAAUAAAAAGGAAAAGACAAAAAAUAUUAAAAGUUAGGUUUAUUAAUUAUUGUUGCCAUGAUUUUUUAGUUAUAAAUUGAUUUUGGAAAUACAUUAAUUGAAGAGAAAAGACAAAAAUCCUAAAAGAUAGGUUAAUUAAUAACUUCAGUGGCAUGCCAUUGUAAAUAUAGUGGAAAACUAAGGGAUAAUCUAAUUUUGUACUCCUAUUUUAAUAGAUUAGAUUACACAGCCAUAACCAUAAUGCUUAACCGUAAAAUAUAAAUCGGUCAUUUAACAUAAAACCAUAAAAACAAGGUAAGCUUAUUAAGCUUAUUGGACAGCAAGAGCAAAGCCAAUCCUUUCCUGCCCAAAAUCGAAGACAGUGUGGUAUCGACGGAGCCAUGGAAGACCUAGAACACUGUAUCAAAUUAAAAGUAUUAAUAGUCUUCAAAAAAUAUAAUCUAAACAACCAUAAUGUUCAAAUCAAAUUAAAAAUGUUUGACUUACAAGUAUGCCUCAUCCCCAGGUUGGAACACCAAAGGUCGGAAAGCCGAGAUGUAUCGUCCAUCCGCAUCAGCAAUUACAUACUACAAAAGCUAUAUGUGAUCAAACAAAUAACUCCAAAAAAAAAAAUCAAAAAAAAAAAAUUAUAGCUUUUGUUACUUACGUUCUCUGGAGGGAUGGUUAAAGAAGCAUCCUCAUCACCUUCAAUAAAGUUGAAUGACACAUGGGGCCAGUCUAAUAUACCUACGGCCUCAUCGUGAGUAAGUAUUGUUGGUCCAUAAAGGGGUACCUAUUAAAAAAUUAUACGCAUACACUCAAACAUAUAUUAGUGUUAAGCUAAUUUAUUUUAAAAUAUAUAAUAUAUACACAAAUAUAACUUACUUCUCGACCAAGAAUUUGUCGGUUGAUUCUGUAGAUAAUAUGCUAGUAAACAAGUUGCAAACAAGACAUGAGAAUCCAUAAAUAUUUACAUUAGAAAAGAAAAAAAAUUCUAAAUUAACUUUUAAGUAAAUAUACUCCUUGAUACUUACAGGAGGCCCAUAAAUGUACUCGCAACCACUGUCUAUCAGAACUUUAUCACAGUAUUGUGCUGCAAACAAAAUGAUAGUAUGAUUUUGGUUACUUUACUAGAAAAAAAAAUCAUUUUUCAAGUAAACAAGUGAUUGUUACCUAGAUGACCCGCAACCGAAACCGAAUACAUAUGAAUCUUCCACUGGUUAGAGUUGUCGACGAGAUCAAAAUAUUGGUGGUGACCUUCGUAAUGUUCCUGACUGACACCUCCAAAGAUUAGGCCUCCACCAUCAUUGCCAUGAAAAUAAUAAUUUCGCAGGUAAAGUGAAAACAGGUUGAUUCGUAGCAAACCCUGGUUCAUCAGUGUCAUCCUAAAAUACAAAUAAUUAAGUGUUAUUAAACAUGCAAACACAAUACAAGAUAUGGAGACGUCACGUGUCAUUUCUUAUAUUUAAAAGGGAGUUUUAGGCCAAGUUUUCAUCAAUGAUGAACUAUUGAGUGGUAACUAAUUAAAAUUAAUAAAAGAAACGUAAAAGGUAUUACCAGAUAGGAACAGCACCCACUGCAUCAAUAUUGGCUGGCAGAGGUAAUCCAAGUCCCACAAACCCAUCAUAGGGAAGAUUAAUGUAAAACUGACGUGGAACGACCCUUCGAUAGACUACGAACUCUUGUGGACCAACCAUAACAAGGUUUCCCAUGGGUCCUAACAUCAUGUGCUCGGUUCUCCUCCUCCCGGAUAUGCAGGGCCGGCUUAGGGCAUGGGGCAAGGGGGCGUGGGCCCCAGGGCCCAAACAGUUUUUAAUAAAAAUAGUAUGAAAGAGGGGUCCAAUUUUUUAAAAAAUAAUUAGGGAUAGGGGCCCAAAAUUUUUAAAUUAUUCAUAUAUACAUGUAAAAAAAUUUUUUUGCCCAAGGGCCCACUAUUAUCUUGAGCCGGCCCUGCGGAUAUGGUGACAGCACCAUUUCGCAACCUAAUCGAGGCCAACGUUCCUUAUACGACAAAGCCCAAACACACACAAUCCUCAGUUUUUUUAGUGGACAUAGAAAGACAUGGACAUUACUUCAAGAAAGAUAUAUAUAUAUAUAUUACCAGGAGCUUUCGUUGUACGUGGGUGACACACCUCCAUCAUAGGCAUGUACCUGGUUGGGAACGAGAAAUUUACAUUGGAAAACACAUUUUGACUUUCUAAUUACACUAAAAAACACAUCCCACUUGCAACACACAUUUAUCUUACCGUUUGUCCAUUAUACCUUUGAAAGCUUAUUCUCUCUCGUUACCUUCUUGUUGUAAUCAGAUUUUUUUAAAAAAAAACAAAAUCAUUAACUGAUAAAAUUCUUUGCCCAAAAAAAAAAAAAAACUGAUAAAAUUCUAACUUCCCCAAUUCUCACAAAUCACAAUCCCUAAUCCGCUUAAAUAACAAUAUCUAUCGUUAAUGGAAAGCUACAUCCCUAAACCCCGCCGACGGAACCACUCUCCCUCUCUCGUUGAACUCCAGCAAAAGGCUUGAACCAAUCAUCAUCUCGUUUAGCUCAGACAGAGGGCUCUGUUCUUCACCACGAGCAACCUCUGGCGCCAUACACACUUUUAAUUUUCUUAGAGCCGCUGCAAUUCCUCUUAGAACCUCUGCAAAUCUGCAAAGACACAAACCCUGCAACUCUAGCCGUAGAUCUUGCAAUGAUUGCAGUUGGAAAAACAAUUGGAGUAUGAGUGUGUAUUCUCGUCCCAAUUUCUCUUCUAUGCAAGUCAUCAUAUAUACAAUAGAUUUAGUUUUCUUCUCAGGUUCACUUCGUGUAAAGAAUCAGUACACAAAGGACUUACCUUUAUGGUUAUCUUUUGAAAAGCCAUCUACCUCUGAAAUUGAAUUAGAUGAAGAUGGUGUUUGGAACAUUGCUGAGGAAAAGGAUAAGAGCUUCAUUGCUAACUGUUUAUGCUUUUGAUAUCUCAUUGUUCAUAAGGUUGACAUUUUGUUUGGCAUAUAUGUUUUGUCACACAAACACAAAUCACCACCAAAUAAUUGUCCAUUGUACAGAUCCACGCACGUCUAUCUAUCCAUAUGUAUAUUUUAUCCAUAUGCAUAUGUUCAUGCAUAUCUGUCCACAAAUAACCGUUCAUGAUUACCCGUC